rnacentral:rRNA from 1 species
AUGCCUCUUAAGAAUAAAAUCUUUGCAUGGUAUCUUCGUCGCGGAGUCAUUCUUACUAAAGAUAACCUUAUUAAGAGGAAUUGGCAUGGAAGUACGCAAUGUGUAUUUUGUCCGCAUGAUGAGACAAAACAUUUGUUCUUCCAAUGUAAAUUGGCUCAUUCUAUAUGGUCAGUCACCCAAAUAGUUUUUGGCUUAUAUCCUCCUUGUAGUGUUGCUAAUAUAAUUGGCAACUGGUUACACGGGAUUGAUCACAGGUUCAGAAUUCUACUUAGGGUGGGAGUGCUUGCCGUGAUUUGGUCGCUUUGGCUAUAUAGAAAUGAUAAGAUUUUUAACGAUAAGAGUACUUCGCUUAUGCAGGUUAUCUACAGAUGUACCGGGACGCUUGUUUAUGGUCCUCUCUAUAACGAGUGGAGAAUCGAGACCUAUUUACGGAGGUGUGUACACGAUUGGAGGCUACGGCGAGGAAUACUUUUACCCAACAUGGAUGGCAGCAUGAUCUUAGAAUUGGGCACCGAUGAUUUAGGCGCUAUACAGAUAUACAUUUUUUUUUGUAUUUCGCCUUCCUAUUUUAUUUUCGCUUGUGGUGAGGACUUUGUUAGCUGUGUGCAUCUUAGUUAUGCAGAGGCCGGGUGUAAUACUUAA